AGGACGAACGCUGGCGGCGUGCCUAACACAUGCAAGUCGAACGGAGCCCGCAAGGGUUCAGUGGCGAACGGGUGCGUAACACGUGAGGAACUUGUCCAUCGGCGGGGGAUAGCCGGCCCAACGGCCGGGUAAUACCGCGUACGCCGUCCGGAGCGCAUGCUCUGGCCGGGAAAGCAGCAAUGCACCGAUGGAGAGCCUCGCGGCCUAUCAGCUAGUUGGUGGGGUAAUGGCCUACCAAGGCGACGACGGGUAGCUGGUCUGAGAGGAUGACCAGCCACAUUGGGACUGAGACACGGCCCAGACUCCUACGGGAGGCAGCAGUGGGGAAUAUUGCGCAAUGGGCGAAAGCCUGACGCAGCGACGCCGCGUGUGGGAUGACGGCCUUCGGGUUGUAACCGACUGUCGCGAGGGACGAAGAUCUGACGGUACCUCGAAGGAAGCACCGGCUAACUCUGUGCCAGCAGCCGC
rnacentral:rRNA from 1 species